UAAUACGAAGGGGGCUAGCGUUGCUCGGAAUUACUGGGCGUAAAGGGAGCGUAGGCGGAUAGUUUAGUCAGAGGUGAAAGCCCAGGGCUCAACCUUGGAAUUGCCUUUGAUACUGGCUAUCUUGAGUACGGAAGAGGUAUGUGGAACUCCGAGUGUAGAGGUGAAAUUCGUAGAUAUUCGGAAGAACACCAGUGGCGAAGGCGACAUACUGGUCCGUUACUGACGCUGAGGCUCGAAAGCGUGGGGAGCAAACAGGAUUAGAUACCCUGGUAGUCCACGCUGUAAACGAUGAGUGCUAGUUGUCGGCAGGCAUGCCUGUCGGUGACGCAGCUAACGCAUUAAGCACUCCGCCUGGGGAGUACGGUCGCAAGAUUA
rnacentral:rRNA from 1 species